rnacentral:lncRNA from 10 species
GGGCCCACGGUGCUGGGAAUUGAUGUGGUGGGAGAGUAAGACUCAGGCUGCCUCUCCGCGUUCUGGGGGACGCUGGAAGCGGAGGCUGUCCCUCGCCUUCCUGCCACUCCUCCCGCCUUCCUGCCACUCCUCCCGCCUUCCUGCCACUCCUCCCGCCUUCCUGCCACUCCUCCCGCCUUCCUGCCCUCCGCUGCCUGUGGCUCCUCACUUCCCCGGCCGUGCCGUCAGGGGCGCUCCAGAGCAGCCCCGGUGCCCACGUCUCAUCGCAGCCCUCUGGCAGGACAGCGCGCGUCUAAACUAAGCCGAGGCGCACUUCGCUAAGGGGACCUCUCCGUUUGGACAAUCCCGACGCCCGGCUCUACGCGGAAUUCCUCAUCUCCCACACAACCCUUUGCCGCUCUGGUAUCAGCUGGUGGCUUCUCCGUGGCCAUGCAGAGAAUAGAGACAGAACUUGAAACUGAUGUGCACAUGAGUGAGAUUCUUCAGCAAGGUGACAGACAGGAGGGUAAAGAGGAAGUAGGAUGAGCUCUUUGCUUUGAGUUUCUGUUUUCCAGGUCGGCUUGAUUGGAAAGAGGGAUGGCCGUGGUGAGAGUUGACAGUGUGCUGGUAGCCCUCGCAGCCCACGCUCGCUCUCGGCGCCUCCUCUGCCUGGGCUCCCACUUUGACGGCACUUGAGGAGCCCUCCAGCCCGCCGCCGCACUGUGGGAGCCCCUUGCUGGGCUGGCCGAGACCGGAGCCAGCUCCCUCAGCUUGCAGGGAGGUGUGGAGGGAGAGGCAUGGGCGGGAACCAGGGCUUCGCGGGUGCCUGCGGGCCAGCACGAGUUCCGGGUGGGCGUGGGCUCAGCGGGCCUCACACUGGGAGCCGCAGGCCGGCUCGCAAGUCCCGGGCAGUGAGGAGCUUACUACCCGGGCCAGCAGCUGCGGAGGGUGUGCCGGGUCCCCCAGCAGUGCCGGCCCACCGGCUCUGUGCUGGAUUUCUUGCCGUGCCUUAGCUGCCUCCCCUCGGGCAGGGCUGGGGACCUGCAGCCUGCCAUGCCUGAGUCUCCCUCCGCACUGCCAGAUGCUCCUGCCGGGCCUGAGUCUCCCCGACGAGCGCUGCCCCAUGUUCCACGGCGCCCGAUCCCAUCCACUGCCCAAGGUCUGAGGAGUGCCAGCGCACGGCGACGGAGUGGCAGGCAGCUCCACCUGCGGCCCCGGUGUGAGAUCCACUGGAUGAAGCCAGCUGGACUCCUGAGUCUGGUGGGGACUUGGAGAAUCUUUAUGUCUAGCUGGGGGAUUGUGAAUGCACCAAUCAGCACUCUGUAUCUAGCUCAAGGUUUGUAAACACACCAAUCAGCACCCUGUGUCUAGCUCAGGGUUUGUGAAUGCACCAAUCGACACUCUGUUUCUAGCUAAUUUAGUGGGGCCGUGGAGAACUUUUGUGUCGAACUCAGGGAUUGUAAACGCACCAAUCAGCACUCUGUCAAAAUGGACCAAUCAGCUCUCUGUAAAACAGACCAAUCGGCUCUCUGUAAAAUGGACCAAUCAGCAGGAUGUGGGUGGGGCCAGAUAAGAGAAUAAAAGCAGGCUGCUCCGCGCUAGCACUAGCAAGUUGCUAGAGUGGCCUGCCACAGUGUAAGUUUUGUUCUUUAGCUCUUUGCAAUAAAUCUUGCUACUGCCCACUCUUUGGGUUUACACUGCAUUUAUGAGCUGUAACACUCAUGGUGAAGAUUUACAGGUUCAGUCCUGAAGCCAGCGAGACAAAGAACCCACUGGGAAGAACAAACAACUCCAGACGCCCCAACUUAAGAGCUGUUAACACCCGAAGAUCUGCAGCUUCACUUUUGAGCCAGCGAGACCACGAACCCACCAGAAGGAAGAAACUCUGAACAGGCUGGAACGUCAGAAGGAACAAACUCAGGACAUGCCACCUUUAAGAACUGUAACACUCACUGUGAGGGUCUGCGGCUUCAUUCUUGAAGGCUGUGAGACCAAGAACCCACCAAUUUCGGACACACUGGGACCACCCUCGCUGACUGGAGCACUUGAGGCAAUCAUUCCCAGAUAGUGGAACCUCGAAUGGCAGACACUGUGGUUCUCCUGCGGGGCUGAGAACUGUGAGGAGCAGAGCAGACUUCAUGGAGCUCCACAAGUCACAUACACAGGCGGCUGCUGGCUAUUUCCGCUUUCUCAUCUGGAAUUGGCAGCGGACUAAGUGGGCCCUACUUAUUAGGUUGGUGCAAAAGUAAUCGCGAUUCUUGCCAUUAAAAGUAAUGGCAAAAGCUGCGAUUACUUUUGCACCAAUCUUACUAUAUAUAUAUUAUUUUUUCAAAUCUCAGUUUUAUUCUCAUUCCAGCAUCCUAAUGCUUUCCCUUUGGAUUUUUUUUUCUAAUCUUGAGAAGUUUGUGUUUUCAGUGUAGUAAUAACAAUAAUAGUGUUCUUAGCACACGCGUUACGCCAAGGGCUUUUAAAAGAUACUUUUCAUAAACCAACUCACUUAAUUCUCACAACAACUUUUGAAGUAGUCCACUUUCUAAUCCUCAUUUUACAGAUAAGGAAACUGAGGCACACAAGGUCAGCUAACCUGCCCGAGGUCUCUAGCUAGUGACUGGAAGAGGUGUUCUCUGGAUAUUAUUUGAAUCUCAGUCUCGCUAUAUUUCUUCGUCAUGACUGUAACUUUCCCCCUGUAUUUCUAAAUAUUUUAAUCUCUUGAUCAUAUAGCAUACGUUGAUUUAAUAAAUCACUUUUACAUGCAUUAUCGUAUUUGGUAUUCAUCACAGCUCUCUGAGGUGGGUAAGGGAGAUUUGGUUACUUCUUUCUGACAAAUGAGAAAAAUGAUGCUCAUAGACACUGUUAAGUUAGAAGCACAGGGCGUUAAUUCUGGAAGUGUUUUAAAGAUUACCCAAUCCAGCCACUCAACUUUUAGGAAAUUGAGCGUCAGAAAAAUAAAUGCCUUUCUCUAGUUCCCACAGCUGGCUGCAGUACCAAUCACCUGCCUCUGAGUUCAUUGCCAGCUGGGUGCUGUGGAACUUACCUUGACUUUGGAGUUAAUUAUCCAACUUCUCUGAGCUAUA